AAGGAACCAUUUAACACAGUGGGGGAAAUCUCUGGGGCCCUUUUUACCUUAUCAUCAUAAAUUCAUUAAGGAGGUUGGGAUUCUGGUUUGCUGGCGAGACCCAGGGCUUUAAGAGGCAAGAAGCAACAUGGAGCAUUGAGGAAGAUGUGGGAC